CAGAGGUAGCUGAGCUUAAUUAAACUGUGCUGGAAACCUAAAAGGGAUGAAGCUGCCAGGGAAACAACACAGGUUCCUGCAAUGGAGAAGACCCAGUGACAGGAAGAACCUCAAAAUGUUUUGUUCUGCUAAAUUGCCAAGAACAGGAACUCCAUAAUGAAGGAGGUUAUCAUCCAGGAGUUAUACCCUGCUUGUUUUUAAACCUGCAAAGGGAAGAUACUGUGAACAAAGCAGUGAAGGCUCUCAGGUUCCUCCCCAGGUGCCAGGAGAGGAGUGGGGCUGUUUUGGAUCACCUGAGCACAGGGCUGGAUGCAACUGGGUUCUCAACAUCUGAAAGGGAUGGCGAAAUAAAUUACACAGAUCCCUGUGCAAGUCUGAUCAAGCUCUCAAAGGUGAGGGAAAGAAGAGAUUUUGGGACACACCAUGGACCUGAACAUUUCUCAGCUGGUAAAAAAACACAGUCCAUAUUUCUUCUCAGCAAAAGUCUGGCGCUACCCCAACUUCAGCUAUCACAAAGGCUAAUAUGUAAGAAAGACUGCACUAAAAAUAUAAUGUAAAAAUAUAUCUUUAAUAAAACGAGACCAGAAUUCCCA
rnacentral:lncRNA from 1 species